UUGGCCAUGGAAAACUGUCUGGUCGAUCCCAAAGCAGGUCACCGGUCCAAGCGCGAAUCGGUCGGCGAUUGUAAAACUGGCGUCCAGUGUCCCGGCAAAAGCUCAGAUGGGGGAAAAGGAGGCGACGAUAAAAAACUUCCUAAAAACCGAGGGACGAUUAAGAAUUAGCGUUGCUUUGCGCCGGAGUGGGAAAAAGAAUUUGCAAUACCAACAAUUCAACAAAAAAAAGUUCUGUGGCAAAGUCUCCGGUGACUUCUUAUGACAUGCUCGAACAGAUCCCCCAAGAUAGUGUCUCAGUUGAACGGAAACCGGAAGCUGAAGUUCAAGCCAUUUCGGCCGAAUUUUUCGCCUUCGCUCAAAAACCAGAUCAUCGUAGAAUCUCUAAGAAGCGGAGACGAUUUCUACCGGAAACGGAAUCGUUCUUCGAACCUAAGCCCGAUCGAGAGUGGCGCCAUGUGGAAACGAGGUCGAUUCGUCAAUAUUCGGGACCGGAAUGUCAUCAGCGUGAACCAAAAGUGUUACCUAUGGAGAGUGCACUGGCUAAUAGGGCUGUCCAAGAGUUCAACAAACCGCCGAUUGGGUAGCCGGAAUGGGCUUGCUAUUGCCGAGUAAACAACAAGCCUGUCACAGGUUCUCCGGCUCCGUUGCGUUACUAAUGAUCCGACGUGUCUGCACAAACUCUGGCCACUUGGAGUAGGAGUCAAUGCCCAGCAGAACAUACUCGCGUUGGUCUGCCUGGUGUAGUCGACAAGGAAGCGCUGCCAUGGUCGUGUAGAUUUUGCUGGCAUAUCUCGUAUCGUCUGGAAGCUGAGGGGGAAAACGUCGAACGACUCGAACGCUGACGAUGUGCCUCAUCCUCGGGAGUGACGGCUGCGAUCACGUAAUCUUCAUCGGGCUCACGUGGUGGGCGAUGAGUCGAGACAGGAUGGUAUGCCCAAACUUGUACUUGGCCACGUAAUCGAUGGUGAAGUCGUUCAUGAGCUGUACCAGGACCCAGCGAAGAUGCGCAAGAGUGGGGCAUGGUUCGACGGCUGCUGUUUGCGAGGGCUCUUGAUGCGUGCUGCACGACUUUGACUGACCCGUCUGAUAAUCGAUGACUAAUUGUCACUCCGAGGAUUAUCCACAACGCGUCUGCAGAGAUAAUGACAUCCAGGCCCAGAUUGUGGUGCAUUAAAAAUAUACUCGAGCGUAUUGGACCGACCAUGAGUGGAGGACCAAGUCCCGGUUCGACACUGUAGAUCAACAGCAGCUUUGUUUCUAGGUUUAAGGAACUUGCUGUACCUGUAAAUCAAAGUUCUGAUUAUAGGUGACCGAUGAAAAUAAAUGCUUUUUCCUAGAUACCAUCAUCUGGGGCGAAUCGGGACAGCUGCCAGUAUUCGGAUUGUAGUUACGAUGAGCUCUAAUUGAUGGUAUGUGUUGUUGCGUUUUAUUUUUUAAUAAUUUUGUAUGACUAAUACAAAGUCCUGGCUACUACUUCCACUACCACCGCCGAUGCGACCUCCGGAAUCACCCGCGGAACCAGCAGUGGGAACUUGACCGCCGCGUCACCGUUCACCUUGAGCACGCCCCCGAUUUGUAUGGACCCUCCUCCACGAAGAUGAAAUCUCUGCAAAGAUAUAGGAUUAGUAUCGAUACGAACUCAAGUCGCUGCUUAACGAAUCUUGCUCCGCGUCCUUCUUGCCGUCCUGGUCGUUCUUGGGGGCUAUCCAUUUAUGCUGUUUUUGCGAGUUGCUAGCACUUCCGUUAUCACUGCAAGUGGUCGAAGACGGCCAAGGAGGUUGUGGAAUAUCAAGCCGGUCGGCCGUUCCCUUGCUGCCUCAGUAGCUUCGGUGCUGCCACUGCCCGAGCUAGAGUUGGGUACUUUUUUCUUAGGCUUGAGCUGGAGUAGAAUAAACUACCGGAGAUGAGCCCCAACAGCUGGGACAGGGUCGACAUCGAGAGUAGCUGGAAGCGACACAUUUUGGUAAGAUCCCAAGCGGCGUUCAGUAGCUAACCGACCUUCAGGACUCCGUGCGAGAUUGGGAAUCCAAUCGCUCCGUGAUUGUACGUGGGACUGUUCUUCACACAAACCUGCGCCCGACGGCCAAUUCCGAUGCGUUGAAGCUCGGUCUAACCGGCUUUGUCCCAAAGUCGUUUCCGUUGGCCUAAUGACAGGACACCACUUUCGGUGAGCGCAACCGUGUAGAGCGUACACAUGUGCAGCGAUACGAUGUUGUCCAGAGCAAAAUCCGGAUGGCUGGUGGCCACUGUUCCACCCUUCUGCUGACAUAAUCGUGCAACUCCUCCAUUCACUUGGUGAUUCGUCCUCUUUUGGUAGAGACCGGAUUGAGGUCACCGAAAUGUGCGUGACCUUCUCUUACAUCAAAUUCAGCGGAACAGUCUUCGGGUGAAAGAUGUUGCUCGAUUCACUGCUCCGGAGAACGAGGCAAUUUCCCAAAACGUCUCGCUUUGUUUUUCUCCGGCUGGCGCGCCCAGAAUACAACUUUCCUUGUCCCAGGCGUCCUCGCGACCACUCUGGAACCAGCGGCGCGGUUUAAAGUACUGUUUAUCACGACAUUUUCCGAAUCUUUUCCAUUAGGCACUGUCCAAUCCACGCAGAACUGAAUCACUUAUCGACCUGUUGAAAUGAAAUGGUCGCGGGAACAGCUGCCCGUCGAUUCUUCCCUUGGGCCACCUUUCUACGAAAUCCUUCAUGCAGGGCACUACGCUGGACAGUCGCUUUGUGUUCCUCGCCGACUGUCGGUCCGUGGCUCACACAUUACCUGGCAUAUUCGCUAAAAGAAAUAUUUAAAAUAAUUGAUGGUUUUUCUUAACCACGCUUUUCAAAACAAAACGCGACCCGACGAAACGUCAAAACAAAACCAACACUCUGAAUGAAAUUACUCAGAUUCGGCUAAAUGGAGGAAUCGGGUCUCAAGGUUCUGGAGCGGAUCCAAAUCCGUUUCGAAAACCUGAAGUGGCACCCCCCUAGCUCCAACCUCUAGAAGUAAUCCGAGUACGACAGCUUCAGGACCUGCGGCUUUAAUCGGUAAUACUCGUCAAACUUGUCCCGUAGCUAGAAAUGAACUGCGGACCCUCAGGACAUCCCACAGUGUCCCGUCAUCACUUCCGGCACAUAAUGCUGCUGGUGGUCGUAAACCGCCGGCACCGAGUGCAACAUUCGCGCUGACCACCUCCGGUCGCUUCUCGUCGUUUCCCUCUUCCGUCGGAUCCUUCUCCUCACCGAUAAAAUUUACUUUAUCUUACUUGUUCGAAAAGCGGAUGUAAAUCUGCUUCAACUUUAAUUUCGUCCACCUGGCCACCACCACCGAAUACAACCGGUGCAAAUCCACAUCCCGACCUCCGAUCUUCGGGAACCGCAUAAACUGCG